UACGUAGGGUGCAAGCGUUAAUCGGAAUUACUGGGCGUAAAGCGUGCGCAGGCGGUUUUGUAAGACCGAUGUGAAAUCCCCGGGCUUAACCUGGGAACUGCAUUCGAGACUGCAUUGCUAGAGUAUGGGAGAGGGAAGUGGAAUUUCCGGUGUAGCGGUGAAAUGCGUAGAUAUCGGAAGGAACAUCAGUGGCGAAAGCGACUUCCUGGACCAAUACUGACGCUCAUGUGCGAAAGCGUGGGGAGCAAACAGG
rnacentral:rRNA from 1 species